rnacentral:rRNA from 1 species
CCUACGGGGGGCAGCAGUGGGGAAUAUUGCACAAUGGGCGCAAGCCUGAUGCAGCCAUGCCGCGUGUAUGAAGAAGGCCUUCGGGUUGUAAAGUACUUUCAGCGGGGAGGAAGGCGAUAAGGUUAAUAACCUUGUCGAUUGACGUUACCCGCAGAAGAAGCACCGGCUAACUCCGUGCCAGCAGCCGCGGCAAUACGGAGGGUGCAAGCGUUAAUCGGAAUUACUGGGCGUAAAGCGCACGCAGGCGGUCUGUCAAGUCGGAUGUGAAAUCCCCGGGCUCAACCUGGGAACUGCAUUCGAAACUGGCAGGCUAGAGUCUUGUAGAGGGAGGUAGAAUUCCAGGUGUAGCGGUGAAAUGCGUAGAGAUCUGGAGGAAUACCGGUGGCGAAGGCGGCCCCCUGGACAAAGACUGACGCUCAGGUGCGAAAGCGUGGGGAGCAAACAGGAUUAGAUACCCCCGUAGUC